AUAUUGGGCGUAAGAGCUCGUAGGCGGUUUGUCGCGUCUGCUGUGAAAUCCCGAGGCUCAACCUCGGGCUUGCAGUGGGUACGGGCAGACUAGAGUGCGGUAGGGGAGAUUGGAAUUCCUGGUGUAGCGGUGGAAUGCGCAGAUAUCAGGAGGAACACCGAUGGCGAAGGCAGAUCUCUGGGCCGUAACUGACGCUGAGGAGCGAAAGCGUGGGGAGCGAACAGGAUUAGAUACCCUGGUAGUCCACGCCGUAAACGUUGGGCGCUAGAUGUAGGGACCUUUCCACGGUUUCUGUGUCGUAGCUAACGCAUUAAGCGCCCCGCCUGGGGAGUACGGCCGCAAGGCUAAAACUCAAAGGAAUUGACGGGGGCCCGCACAAGCGGCGGAGCAUGCGGAUUAAUUCGAUGCAACGCGAAGAACCUUACCAAGGCUUGACAUACACCGGAAACGGCCAGAGAUGGUCGCCCCCUUGUGGUCGGUGUACAGGUGGUGCAUGGUUGUCGUCAGCUCGUGUCGUGAGAUGUUGGGUUAAGUCCCGCAACGAGCGCAACCCUCGUUCUAUGUUGCCAGCGCGUUAUGGCGGGGACUCAUAGGAGACUGCCGGGGUCAACUCGGAGGAAGGUGGGGAUGACGUCAAAUCAUCAUGCCCCUUAUGUCUUGGGCUUCACGCAUGCUACAAUGGCCGGUACAAAGGGCUGCGAUACCGUAAGGUGGAGCGAAUCCCAAAAAGCCGGUCUCAGUUCGGAUUGAGGUCUGCAACUCGACCUCAUGAAGUCGGAGUCGCUAGUAAUCGCAGAUCAGCAACGCUGCGGUGAAUACGUUCCCGGGGCCUUGUACACACCGCCCGUCAAGUCAUGAAAGUCGGUAACACCCGAAGCCGGUGGCCUAACCCUUGUGGAAGAGCCGUCGAAAGUGGGAUCGGUGAUAGGACGAAGUCGUACAGGG
rnacentral:rRNA from 2 species